GGGGGCGUACUGGUUUCGACCUGACGAAUGCGCCAGAGGCGGCAUGCCGAGGAUGGUUCGUUGGCCUCGUUAAUCAUCGAACCAAAAAUCAAGUGCUAACGAAGAAUUAGCUCUCGCGGCCUAAAGUUGCCGCGACGUUCACCGGUGGACGCCUGCUACACCGGAUGAACGCCACAGCAGGCAUGGUUGGCAGCGGAGACUGCGCGUUGUCAGCCGAGAAAUGACAUGCGGUCUAGGCCGUGCGAGUCGCCGUCCGGACGUUAUCGCACGGAAGAAUCCUCUCUCCGGGCUAAGCAUGUAGUCGCGGCUGGUUUGUUUGCCAGGGACGCGGGUUCGACUCCCGCCGCCUCCAGUC
rnacentral:tmRNA from 1 species